UUCGAAGUGUGGCUUUGCCUGCUAUCUCUUACCCAUGUCUUUUGAGUACCUUACGUUUCCUCGGUGGGUUCGCCCACCGAUUGGACAAAUUUAAACCCUUUGCAGUUGAAAUCAGCGUCUGAAAAAACUUAAUAGUUACAACUUUCAACAACGGAUCUCUUGGUUCUGGCAUCGAUGAAGAACGCAGCGAAAUGCGAUAAGUAGUGUGAAUUGCAGAAUUCAGUGAAUCAUCGAAUCUUUGAACGCACAUUGCGCCCCUUGGUAUUCCAUGGGGCAUGCCUGUUCGAGCGUCAUUUGUACCUUCAAGCUCUGCUUGGUGUUGGGUGUUUGUCUCCUGUAGACUCGCCUUAAAACAAUUGGCAGCCGGCGUAUUGAUUUCGGAGCGCAGUACAUCUCGCGCUUUGCACUCAUAACGACGACAUCCAAAAGUACAUUUUUACACUCUUGACCUCGGAUCAUGUAGGGAUACCCGCUGAACUUAAGCAUAUCUAUAAGCGGAGGAA
rnacentral:rRNA from 1 species